GAUGAACGCUAGCUACAGGCUUAACACAUGCAAGUCGAGGGGCAGCAUGACGAGUGCUUGCACUUGUUGAUGGCGACCGGCGCACGGGUGAGUAACGCGUAUCCAACCUUCCCCUGAGUAGAGGAUACGCCCGGCGAAAGUCGGAUUAAUACUCUAUGUUGUCAGACGAAGACAUCUGAAUCUGACCAAAGAUUAAUCGCUCAGGGAUGGGGAUGCGUCUGAUUAGGUUGUUGGCGGGGUAACGGCCCACCAAGCCAUCGAUCAGUAGGGGUUCUGAGAGGAAGGUCCCCCACAUUGGUACUGAGACACGGACCAAACUCC
rnacentral:rRNA from 1 species